rnacentral:lncRNA from 1 species
UUAGGGCAUUUGCUGGAAAAAGUUGCUCCAACAAUGUCCUAGUGAUGCCUUAUAUCACUAGGACAACAUUCUCAAGCCCUAUUUUUGAGGCACCUCUCUCCUUGCCCUAUAACAUAUUUUAUUAUAAAAUCACAUCAACACUCACUUUCUCUCUCUAUUUUUAUAUUAUGCUUUAAUGAUGGAAGAGAGUCUUUAAUAAUAAAAUAUUAAACAUCUUGUAAGAAUAAGGCACAUUGUUGGAGUUCAAGCUGGC